UGGAGGGUUAAAAAAAUAUAAUUUCUAGAUUGAGUAAUGUGUAGGGGGAGGAAAGUAGAGAACGUACAACUGGAACUUGACGCAGCUAGCUGGGAACAAGCGUCAGCUUCUGUAAACAGCUCCAUGCUAUUGUUUUAACCAAAUCAAGUGUGGAUCAGGGUAGAAGCGUAGGUAUGAUUUAAGAUAGUAACUAAGGAAUAAGAUAAUCAGUAUCUAGGGGUGGGGGUUAGUUAACAUGUGUAUAAUUUAAACUAUAAAAAUCACGAAUCGACUCUGUAUCCUUUGGACAUCAGAUUUGGGUGUAUUAUCACCCCGGUGUCCCGCGCGCUGGAAUAAAGAACCGCAUAUGAUCGCCUCUGUGUAGUUAUAUGUUUUCCUACGCUAACAUUUUUGGCGACCCAGAUGGGACCUUGUGGGCGCAGCCAGGACCCCGCGACCCGAUCACGCUCCAGCCGGCACCGGGUGAUUUCUCGGGGAGCCCAUCGGAGCCGCGACCCUCGCCGCUCACAACGACCCCUGGUGAGAGGGAAACAAGAUGUGUAUAAUUAUGUUCUGUCCCUCGAGAAAACUCUAGCUCGGCUUCGAAGUGUUCUCGUGUAGAACAGACCACAGGCCCUAGAGAAUCCAGUCCACAAUAUCGAACCAGGAGAUGAGGUAUACAUCAAAACCUGGAACGAAGAACCACUAAAAGAGAAGUGGACUGGUCCCCAUCAGUUUACAGAAUCCUGAAGAGAGAGAUACAGAAAAAGGCAUCUUGGAACAAGACCAUAAUGAAGGCAUUGGCACGGAACCCAGCACCUUCAAUCCGCAACAACAUCCUGGACAAAGCCUAUGACAACAAAAGAUUUAAAGAUGAACAUCCAGUAUGAACUCUGAAGCCUAAUGGACUGUAUUAAGUGAAAGCAUUUACACUUAGUAUAUUAGAGUGAAAAUACUUUCAAAGGGGGGAAUGUUGGUGGAGGGUUAAAAAAAUAUAAUUUCUAGAUUGAGUAAUGUGUAGGGGGAGGAAAGUAGAGAACGUACAACUGGAACUUGACGCAGCUAGCUGGGAACAAGCGUCAGCUUCUGUAAACAGCUCCAUGCUAUUGUUUUAACCAAAUCAAGUAUAGAUCAAAGUAAAAGCGUAAGUAUAAUUUAAGAUAGUAACUAAGGAAUAAGAUAAUCAGUAUCUAGGGGUAGAAGUUAGUUAACAUGUGUAUAAUUUAAACUAUAAAAAUCACGAAUCGACUCUGUAUCCUUUAGACAUCAGAUUUGAGUGUAUUAUCACCCCGGUGUCCCGCGCGCUAGAAUAAAGAACCGCAUAUGAUCGCCUCUGUGUAGUUAUAUGUUUUCCUACGCUAACAGUAGUAGUGUGUAGCAAGAGCAGGAUGUCUUAUGGAAUGAAGGUUGAGCUAUCCCAAACUGGGCCUCAGAUUUGGGCCCAUGUAGUAGUAGAUAAACCUGUGGCGCAGUUAGAAAUUCACUUAAGGUGUAUACAUACUUUAGCUGGGACAGUUAGGAUAGAAACACGGUCGCUGCCUUAAACUGAAAUAGUUUACAUAUUUGCUCACGCUGAAUACCAAUAGAAAUGCACCUACAACUGUAAACUAUUCUGCACUGUAUAAAACCAGCCAUUUCGAGAAUA